ACGGAAGGGGCGAGCGUUGUUCGGAAUCAUUGGGCGUAAAGGGCGCGUAGGUGGUUCUGUAUGUCUACUGUGAAAGCGUACGGCUUAACCGUAUUUUGUCGGUAGAAACUGCAGGACUUGAGGCUGGGAGGGGCUGGUGGAAUUCCCUGUGUAGCGGUGAAGUGCGUAGAGAUGGGGGAGAACACUCGUGGCGAAGGCGGCCAGCUAGACCAGUUCUGACACUGAGGCACGAAAGCGUGGGGAGCAAACAGGA
rnacentral:rRNA from 1 species